rnacentral:rRNA from 1 species
GCUACAGAAACUUAAGAAUUGACGGGCCGCACAAGCGGUGGAGUAUGUGGUUUAAUUCGAUGCAACGCGAAGAACCUUACCUGGUCUUGACAUCCCGGAGACCCUUAGGAAACUAGGGGGUGCUUCCAUCUGGAAGAAUCUGGAGACAGGUGCUGCAUGGCUGUCGUCAGCUCGUGUCGUGAGAUGUUGGGUUAAGUCCCGCAACGAGCGCAACCCUUGCCUUUAGUUGCCAGCAGUUCGGCUGGGCACUCUAAAGGGACUGCCGGUGUUAAACCGGAGGAAGUGGGGAUGACGUCAAGUCCUCAUGGCCUUUAUGACCAGGGCUACACACGUACUACAAUGGCCGAUACAAAGGGCAGCGACACUGCGAGGUGAAGCCAAUCCCGUAAAAUCGGUCUCAGUCCGGAUUGGAGUCUGCAACUCGACUCCAUGAAGUUGGAAUCGCUAGUAAUCGUGGAUCAGCAUGCCACGGUGAAUACGUUCCCGGGCCUU